AUGAUGCUGUGGAAGUGCUACACUCAAUAUGCCAGCAAAUUUGGAAAACUCAGCAGUGGCCACAGGACUGGAAAAGGUCAGUUUUCAUUCCAAUCCCAAAGAAAGGCAAUACCAAAUAUUGCUCCAAACUACCACAAAAUUGCACUCAUCUCACAUGCUAGUAAAGUAAUGCUCAAAAUUCUCCAAGCCAGGCUUCAGCAAUACAUGAACCGUGAACUCCCAGAUGUUCAAGCUGGUUUUAGAAAAGGCAGAGGAACCACAGAUCAAAUUGUCAACAUUCACUGGAUCAUCCAGAAAACAAGAGAAUUCCAGAAAAACAUCUAUUUCUGCUUUAUUGACUAUGCCAAAGCCUUUGACUGUGUGGAUCACAAUAAACUGUGGAAAAUUCUGAGAGAGAUGGGAAUAUCAGACCACCUGACCUGCCUCUUGAGAAACCUGUAUGCAGGUCAGGAAGCAACAGUUAGAACUGGACAUGGAACAGCAGACUGGUUCCAAAUAGGAAAAGGAGUACGUCAAGGCUGUAUAUUGUCACCCUGCUUAUUUAACUUCUAUGCAGAGUACAUCAUGAGAAACGCUGGGCUGGAAGAAGCACAAGCUGGAAUCAAGAUUGCCAGGAGAAAUAUCAAUAACCUCAGAUUUGCAGAUGACAGCACCCUUAUGGCAGAAAGUGAAGAGGAACUAAAAAGCCUCUUGAUGAAAGUGAAAGAGGAGAGUGAAAAAGUUGGCUUAAAGCUCAACAUUCAGAAAACGAAGAUCAUGGCAUCCAGUCCUAUCACUUCAUGGCUAAUAGAUGGGGAAACAGUGGAAACAGUGUCAGACUUUAUUUUUUUGGGUUCCAAAAUAAGUGCAGAUGGUCACUGCAGCCAGGAAAUUAAAAGAUGCUUCCCCCUUGGAAGGAAAUUUGUGACCAACCUAGAUAGUAUAUUAAAAAGCAGAUAUAUUACUUUGCCAACAAAGGUCCGUCUAGUCAAGGCUAUGGUUUUGCCAGUGGUCAUAUAUGGAUGUGAGAGCUGGACUGUGAAGGAAGCUGAGUGCCGAAGAAUUGAUGCUUUUGAACUGUGGUGUUGGAGAAGACUCUUGGUAGCCCCUUGGACUGUAAGGAGAUCCAACCAGUCUAUCCUAAAGGAGAUCAGUCCUGGGUGUUUAUUGGAAGGACUGAUGCUGAAGCUGAAACUCCAAUACUUUGGACGCUCCUGUGAAGAGUUGACUCAUUGGGAAAGACCCUGA
rnacentral:lncRNA from 1 species